GGAAGGGAGUUCACCUGUUACUUUUGCAAUAGCUGCAUGUGAAAUACAAAAUGUAAUUUUCAGCGUUUUGCCGUGUUUUGGUUUAUUUGAAGGAAGUAGUGUUAUGGCGAAAGGAAUGUGGGACAAAAUGGUGCAGGACCAUGCAUGUCUUCCUCACCUGGAGAGACACUGCUGCAGUUCCAGCUACUGCUUUGGUAGAACCCCACGGGAAGUGCACUGUUGCUUUUGGUCUAUCCUGGUCAUCCCAGAAAGUGAAGUUUUUGAAGGGAAACUCAUAUCCAAGGAGGUACACAAAAUUAUGUGGGACAUCUGAAAAGGCGCUCAAGACUUGGUGCAUAAUGCACUAACAAGUAUGUGUCUCUGGUUUUGACAAGUUCAAUAAUCUACUACGACUUGUUUUAGCACGAUCAGAUUUAGAAUCAUUAUGAUUCAAGAAUCUAACCUCUUGACAUGACGA